CCAUUUUUGUCGUUAUCAUCACUGUCGUCAUCAGAUGGAUUUGCUGGCAAAUUUGGGUAGUUGCCAUAUUAAUCUUUGAAUUCCUUUAGCGUAAUUCAGGCUCACUUAUUGGAUUAAGGGUCAAAACUGCAGAUUCUAAAUUAGUCUCUCUAGGAAGGAAAUUAAAUUAUUUGAUGUCACAGGAAGAGUGGGAGUUUUAGCAUUAGUCGGAUCUGGGUUCAAACCCCAGCUUUGUCAUUGACUUUUCUGAGCAUCAGUUUCCUCUUCUGUAAUAAAGGGAUAAUUGUAAGUGUCUGAGAGGGCUCUUAUGAAGAAGAAACCAUAACACAUGAAAAAGAUGCCUAGCAAAGAGCCUGGCACAGAAUGAGUACUCGAGAAAUGUUGAUCUCCUUCCCUUUAUGAACUAUAUAAUACUCAGGAACCAAAUUAUUACUUGCAGCUUUUAUUUUGAAUACUAGAGUUAAUGUUUUGUUUCUUACACAUGGUUUAAUUUUGAGCAAAUUAUAGAUGGAAUAAAAGGUGUGUUCAGGAAGAUUAAUAUGCAAACCCACAGACAAUGUCAGAAGUUGAAUUUAACAGCUCCACAUUAUUUAGACUAAGAAAAUGGAAUUUUUGCCCAGCUCGUAAUCAUUUAGACUUAGUCUAUUAGUCACUUCAUUUUUCACUGAAACUAGUUCUCUUGGAUUGGUUGGACUCUGAUUAGAAAUGUUAUGUACUCACGUCUGGCAGACUUUGGAAGGCAUCUUGUGGUAAGUAAUGAAUAAGUCCCGAAAAGAAGGUCAAAAAGGAAUCUUGUCUCUAGUUAGGUGCCAUCAAUUAGACAGGAUUGGGGGAAAUAGUCACAGAAGACAAACAAAAAACUCCUUUUGAAGCACUCUAGACUCUGAAUCUGCCAGAAAGUUCUAGAAUAUCUAGGCACAACGCAACUACAGUGACCUCACUGAGAGGCCUCAGUGCAGAAAUAGAAUGUACGCAAAAGUCACAUUGUGCCCUGUCCUCUAAUAGACAUCGGCGUCCAUGUUGAGUCCUGAGUAGGGGGAAGUUACCGUCUAUCAAAGUAGGAGUGUAACUCAGCCAGAAGAGGAAUGAAUGUCACCAAAAGUGAAAGUCAGUUCCUCACUUUGACUCAUGAAGCCCAAUGUUGACUGCCCCGCUCCCACUUCAUCUGCUCCUACUCUUUCCCGUCCUGCCAUACUUGCCAGAUAAGCUUCUGCCUCCAAGACUUUGAGCCUGUAGUUCCCUUUGCCUGGAAUGCUCUUCCCCCAGCUUUCGUCACAGUCC